GACGAACGCUGGCGGCGUGCUUAACACAUGCAAGUCGAACGCGCCUGUCCUCUGGGUUUCUGGGGGGUGGGUGAGUGGCGAACGGGUGAGUAACACGUGAGUAACCUGCCCCCUUCUUCGGGAUAACGGUCUGAAAGGGCUGCUAAUACCGGGUAUUCACUGGUCUCCGCAUGGGGUCUGGUGGAAAGGUUUUUUUCUGGUGGGGGAUGGGCUCGCGGCCUAUCAGCUUGUUGGUGGGGUGAUGGCCCACCAAGGCUUUGACGGGUAGCCGGCCUGAGAGGGUGACCGGUCACAUUGGGACUGAGAUACGGCCCAGACUCCUACGGGAGGCAGCGGUGGGGAAUAUUGCACAAUGGGCGCAAGCCUGAUGCAGCGACGCCGCGUGAGGGAUGGAGGCCUUCGGGUUGUGAACCUCUUUCGCCCGUGGUCAAGCCGCGACGUGGGUCGUGGUGAGGGUAGUGGGUAAAGAAGCGCCGGCUAACUACGUG
rnacentral:rRNA from 1 species